rnacentral:snoRNA from 1 species
ACCCCAGCUCUGCCACUCACUGGCUGUGUGACCUUGGGCAAGUUACUCAACCUCUCUGUGCCUCAUGUCCUCAUCGGUGAAAUGGGGGAAAAUAGUCCUACCUCUAGAGUUGUGAGAAUUAAAU